rnacentral:rRNA from 1 species
AUGGAACGAUUUGGAACCAUUCCCUCCCUGUCAAGUGGGGCCAGGGGCGGACGCAUGUUGUGGCGAGUGGGGGCCCAGGACCCCACUCGAUUCAUCGUCCUCUUCGUACUACGUCCCGAUGCUAGCGAGCAGGCCCCCAGUCGGGCUAUAGCAGGCGUGCGUCUACCCUGCUGCCGCCUGCCGCUUCGACUCUGGGAGCUCACAAUUAAUAGCGAGAAAAACGAAGAGGCGAGCCCUCGGCCGCCGCUUGGUUGGACCAUUGGUGGAUCGCGGCUUGGCGGGUGCCAGUCCUGUGCCAUCCGGUCGCCGGCCACCGGCGGCGCCACCGUCGACGGGUGUACAGCAGCAACGGAUGAACGGAACAUCCUCAGCAACUCAUCUCUAAUCAGGGAAGAUAAUGGACAAGUAUUUGAUAAAGAAUCAGCAAAUGCCAACACCACCACCCAGCCCCAGGGGGCUAUCACCAGCAAUAAUUCAAGUGGCAGUAGUAAUGCAUCAAGACCUGUAGCAAAACAUAAUUCUGCUGUGCCUGAACUAGUUGAUUUGAAUAAGCUCCCUCGCGAUCCAGCUAAAAGGAAGCGAAUGGCAGAUUAUCACCCCAACCAACGUGACGAGAUAAGAAGGAAGUAUUUGAUUUGGGGACCUAAUCAGCCCCGCAAAUUGGAAUUUCCAUACAGGGAGAUUGGGAAGAAGAAAAAGAAGAGGAGAUUCAAACCGGAUUGGUAUGAUGAUUAUGCUUAUUGGCUAGAGUACAGCGAGAAGGAGCACAAAGCCUAUUGCUUAUGCUGCUAUUUGUUUAGGGACAACAUUAAAGACAGCCACCAUGGGCACGAUGCAUUUGUAGUAGAAGAUGUGGAAUCAACGAAACGAGAGUUAAAAAAACUCAGAACCAAUGAGGGGUGGGAUUCCCUUAUGAAGAAGACGUGGCAUGUUCGUGGCCGGCCUCAUAUGCGCGCACGCACCGUCGCCAAACUGGCCGCAGGCUCUGAGAGCGAGAGACGACGCACGACGAUGCACCGCACCGACCACCUAAUCAAUCCACACAUCGUUGGCGAUCGGCCUGUUGAUCUGGUGGCUGCCUUCUCGGCGGAUGGGCAGGAUUGGCCCUCCUGCCGCGACUGUGAGUAUCUCACCGUGCAGGUCAUCAACAAGGAAGGUCUAAUCUUGGAGAAGGUGGCAGGCCUGAGAAAGGAGGUUAGCUGGAGCUGUUUUUUCAAAUGGCUAUCAGCACGUGGUCGAGAUAUUGAGGCAAGAGAGAGUGGUCGAAGCAACUAUGCCCCCAAGGUCACCGUGCAACCACAAAAUGAGGAGGCAUCCAUAACCUACACACGGAGGCGGACCCGGAGGAAAAAAAGCACGAGUUGA